rnacentral:rRNA from 1 species
UACAGAGGGGGCGAGCGUUGUUCGGAAUCACUGGGCGUAAAGGGCGCGUAGGCGGCCGGCCAAGUCGGGGGUGAAAGCCUGUGGCUCAACCACAGAAUGGCCCUCGAUACUGGACGGCUCGAGACCGGAAGAGGUUGGUGGAAUUGCGAGUGUAGAGGUGAAAUUCGUAGAUAUUCGCAAGAACACCAGUGGCGAAGGCGGCUCACUGGCCCGGUACUGACGCUGAGGUGCGAAAGCGUGGGGAGCAAACAGG